rnacentral:rRNA from 1 species
AGUGAACGCUGGCGGUAGGCCUAACACAUGCAAGUCGAACGGCAGCACAGUAAGAGCUUGCUCUUACGGGUGGCGAGUGGCGGACGGGUGAGGAAUACAUCGGAAUCUACUUUUUCGUGGGGGAUAACGUAGGGAAACUUACGCUAAUACCGCAUACGACCUACGGGUGAAAGCAGGGGAUCUUCGGACCUUGCGCGAUUGAAUGAGCCGAUGUCGGAUUAGCUAGUUGGCGGGGUAAAGGCCCACCAAGGCGACGAUCCGUAGCUGGUCUGAGAGGAUGAUCGGCCACACUGGAACUGGGACACGGUCCAGACUCCUACGGGAGGCAGCAGUGGGGAAUAUUGGGCAAUGGGCGCAAGCCUGAUCCAGCCAUACCGCGUGGGUGAAGAAGGCCUUCGGGUUGUAAAGCCCUUUUGUUGGGGAAGAAAAGCAGCAGGUUAAUACCCCGCUGUUCUGACGGUACCCAAAGAAUAAGCACCGGCUAACUUCGUG